AGGGUAGCAGUGAACCCUCGUGCCUGUUUGGGGCUAGUGGAGCCCAGCGGGCUGGGGCAGGACAAAGGCUAGGCCUGGAGGCUUCUGGGCAAAUGGCAGUCACCUGGCAAACCCCCUCCCGACACCCUUCUGCUCUUUCUGGGGAGGGGUGAGUGGAGCAGGGAACCAGCCUAGGCCAGGCAGCCCCUCUGCCUCUGCAGCAGCUGCUCAAAGGUAAGCUGCAGAGGCCAGCAAACCGAAACCUUCCCAGGUGACCUGCUCCCCCCGGGACGUCGUGCCAGGAGCUGGGCGCUGCCACCCUCACCUUGGCUGCAUGGCACGGCUGGUGCACGGACACCACGAACCCCAACCUCUCCCGAACGCCCCAGUCGGCCAGGCCACCCUGUGGGCCAGCAUCCCCAGGCCGGAAAAGGCAGCAGCCUCGGGGUCCCGCUGAGGUCAGGAGAGAGCUGACAGGGGUGCCCUCAGAGUAGACAGUGGAGUGCCAAGAAGGAGGAAGUUAAGUGCCCCCAAGAACGCAAUCGCAGCCCUGCACUCUGUCCGCCACCGAGUCGUCUGUCCCGGCCUGUCCGCCCCUGAGUCACCUGCCACGCGUUGUGACCAGCAUAGGUUCUGGAGGCAGACAACUUAGGUCUGAAUUCCACUCCCGCUGCUUCCUAGCUGUGCCUCCAUUUUCUCAGCUAUAAGUGAUGCUCACAGUGGUCCCUACUUCUCAAUGUUGGUGUGAGGAUUAAAACCCGUUCGAACGUGUAAA